ACGAACGCUGGCGGCGUGCUUAACACAUGCCAGUCGCACGGAAAGGCCCUGCUUUUGUGGGGUGCUCGAGUGGCGAACGGGUGAGUAACACGUGAGUAACCUGCCCUUGACUUUGGGAUAACUUCAGGAAACUGGGGCUAAUACCGGAUAGGAGCUCCUGCUGCAUGGUGGGGGUUGGAAAGUUUCGGCGGUUGGGGAUGGACUCGCGGCUUAUCAGCUUGUUGGUGGGGUAGUGGCUUACCAAGGCUUUGACGGGUAGCCGGCCUGAGAGGGUGACCGGCCACAUUGGGACUGAGAUACGGCCCAGACUCCUACGGGAGGCAGCAGUGGGGAAUAUUGUACAAUGGGCGGAAGCCUGAUGCAGCAACGCCGCGUGCGGGAUGACGGCCUUCGGGUUGUAAACCGCUUUCGCCUGUGACGAAGCGUGAGUGACGGUAAUGGGUAAAGAAGCACCGGCUAACUACGUG
rnacentral:rRNA from 1 species